GCAAUACCUAAGGGGUGGCUACGGCCUGAGAUGCGCUUCGGAUCUGCACGAUCGCGAACCGCAAACCCUUGAACCUGAUCCGGUUAAUACCGGCGUAGGAAUAGGUCGGGGUCCAGGC
rnacentral:ncRNA from 1 species